ACUUAUUAUAGUUUAGCAUAGAAUAUUAGUUUGUGGAACUAAGGGCGUAUUUUUGUACUGUAAGUG